GAUGAACGCUAGCUACAGGCUUAACACAUGCAAGUCGAGGGACCGGCGCACGUGUGAGUAACACGUAUCCCACCUGCCCUUUACUCGGGGAUAGCCUUUCGAAAGAAAGAUUAAUACCCGAUAUAAUGUAUGGGGAUGCGUUCCAUUAGGUUGUUGGUGAGGUAACGGCUCGCCAAGCCUUCGAUGGAUAGGGGUUCUGAGAGGAAGGUCCCCCACAUUGGAACUGAGACACGGUCCAAAAGCAGACGCGAGGAAGCAGUGAUGAAUAUUAGUCAAUGGACGCUAGCCUGAACCAGCCAAGUAGCGUGAAGGAUGAAGGCUUAUGGGUCGUAAACUUCUUUUGUAUAAGAAUAUGUAUGAUAUGAAGAAGGAUCGGCUAACUCCGUGCCAGCCGCCGCGGUAAUAC
rnacentral:rRNA from 1 species